rnacentral:lncRNA from 1 species
GAUCCUUCUAGAACCCGGUUACUAUUCUAGGACAGGUUGAACCAACCAAACUUCAGUGGGGAGGGUACUUACCUAUGGAACUCAUGCAAGCCUUAAAACCUAGGAAUGAUUGUUGUGUGACUUGCUUGUGCUUGUUAUUUAUCUAACAACAUGACAUCAUAACAACAUAACAUCAUAACAUCAUGGCAUUGUACUAACCAUUUCAAGGAUUUAGGGAUUUAACUCUGCUAAAAAAAAAAAAAAACAAAAGCAAAAACAAAAGAGAAAAGAA